rnacentral:lncRNA from 1 species
UCGAAAUAUGAAUUCGAUAGUAUCAGUAUCUUUCAAACUUUCAUAUACAUAAUCAUAUAUCUAAUUUCAAAAUUGAUCAUAUUCAAAAUCCGAUUCAAAACAAUUUUCACUUAACUCAUUAGCCUUUAACCAUGACCACACUUAUACCCUAUGGCUGAUUCAAAAAACUAUACUUAUACCCUAUGGUCGGAUCAAAAUACUACACUUAUAUCCUAUGGUGGAGUCGAAAUACCAUACUUAUACCC